UAAGGUGUCGGCUUUUACUAUACUUUAAACUUAAUAUGCCUUUUUGAAGCUUCUUCGUUACUGGGUAUACAAACAAAGACUGCUCUCUGCUCUUUAUUUCUGGGAACGUCGUAGAAUAUGUCUUUUUCUUUCUAAGUAAAAGUGAAUUCCAUUUGAGUCAUUUACCAUUCGGCGGCUGCUGGUUCUAUCUCUUUACCCGCAAGGCCGUGGCGGCAUCGGCGGCGGCGGCAGCGUUGAUGUUUCUUUAAUACUUUGGAACCACACUGAGACACGGCGGUGACUAAAGUGCAGCUGCCUCACGACAACAGCAACAACAAAGACACUAUAUAUGUAUGUACAUUCGUAUAGAAAUGAUGAUUUUUGACUCCAGAUAAGAUAAUAAAUUGUGUCAUGUCGCAAGGCAAUUCGUUCUCAUUUCCAUUCACAUUUCCAGUUGACUCAAAUGGAAUAAAAUUAAUAGGGAAAGAGUCUCUUCCAAUUAGAAACAGAUGGCAAUUACAAGACGGGCAAGUGUCAUUGGGUUCCAUUGAACUUUUAAAGAUCAAAUUGAGCUGUUCGCCACAUUGUACCGCAAAAAUAAAUAAAAACAAACAAAACACAAAUGCUUGUGGCACUAUGGAAAUUGGUUGCAUAAACACUGUGGCGAGACAAAUGGCCCCAGUCUCGGAUAGCCAGCCAGACAGGCGUACAGACCGAGUUAUAGAAACACUGUACAAAUAUAUGUGUUUUAGUGAGUCAUGGAUCUUGCGUUAUGUACCCAGCACACUUAUAGGAAGAGUAUAUUGAGACUUUCUAGAUCUUGAUCUGCAUCUAAGUAACUUAAUAUCAAACUUGACACUGACUGUUUGAAAACACUGACACAAGAUCGCUCUACCCAGUUUUCUUUUUAAUUUUCUAGACCUAACACAAAUUGGUAGUGGGUAACACAAAGCCGUUUCACUUGUUUAAGCCAUUGCAUAAAGUACGUGCACUCACAACAACAAACUGAAAAGAAAUACAAGUUCAGCUCGAUUUGGCAUACAUUUAUGAUGGGUAUACGUGAGUAAACGUCUUUGACGUAUACGUGAUAAAUUGAAAUUUCACUAGCAUUGUAUGUUCGUGAUAACUAACUUCUUUUUUUCGUAGUGUAUUUCACUAAUUUCUUAGAUGAACUUUUCAUAAGAAACAGCACAAACAAAACAUAAAACAGUCGCGACUUGGUCUCGGUCUCGUCUCGGUUUUUGCCUUUUCAACUUGCAAAUGAAACCCGUUUGCCGUGUUGCAGCACUGUUUGCAGCUGCCACAAUCGAUGCUCAUCCUCAACAUCCUCGUCUUAAAUCAACGCGCAUUGAAAUUGAAACCAAAAUAAGUGAGAGAACAAUGCGAACUUUGCAAACGAACGUGUUACCUGCCUCUGCCUGUUGCUCAAAAUGAACUGAAACUGGAAAUUUGUUUGUGGCUGGAUAUCGAUUCCCGUUCCCACAAUGCUGGACACACACAGCCCUCGUCCGCCAAAAGAAACCGGUCGGUCGUUGGCCGAAUUUGAAACCAAGACAGAGAGAGAGAGAGAGAAAGAGAGACCUCAAGCACACACACACACACACAUUUAUCUUGUUUAUGCUAUUGUCGAGCAGACUUAAUAUUAAUGGAGGGCAGCUGGUUCUUCCAAAUGCAACUUGCAACUGCAACGGAAACGCCGUUCGUGGCAAGAUCGUUAAAUAUUUAAGUAUAUACAUGUACCUACCAGUACUUCCUGCGAUGCGGUAACAUUAAAGUGAAUUAAAACCAAAAUUUCGUCAUUUAAAAGAACAAACAUUUAUGCAAUUAACAACUAUGCCUAUCUAUGGUGCAUAUAAUAAUCAAUAGCCGUGGAGAAAGCUGCAAAACCUAAGCCGCCGAUGAUGCCAGCUUUAAUGCCAGCCCGGAGGCCAAUCAAACCACCUGUUAUGCCACCUGCAUAUGUGCCAUUUCGCCAAUCGGUGACUCCGCGUUUCUGUGGGAAAAAUGAAGAGGCGUUGUAUUAUUUAACUGGGUAAUCUUUACACUCUUUUUCAGUCACUUACGCUCUCUAUGGUACACUCAACAAUAGAGAACACAGCGCCAAUUAAUGCAAAAUUCUUGGCAUAGGAAUGCGUUGUGGCACGCAUCUCACGGAAAACCUCACGAGCCGUUUGUUUCUUUUCAUUGGCAAAUGGAUCAGCCAUAUUAGGAUUAACGGAGGCACUGAACAAACCCAAAGCAGCUCCCAGGCCAUAUCCUACAAGGGGAAAAUCAUAAAUAAAAAUCAUGAAAUCUAAGCUUUGCUUCGUCCUUACCCAUAACACAGGCCAUGGCACACUUAAAUCCACAACUCUCAACAGCCGUUUCUAUCAUUUUCUCCUCGUUGGUCUUUAUCUUGACAGGACCAUUGGUUUUGGGUAUAACUAUAUUUUCACGGUAUCUUUGAAAAUUGCCCACAAAUUUCAGAGCCAUUUUAUCAAGCUCGGCAUUAUCAAACAUCCGCGGGGGAGUAAUUUCUUUGGGCUGCUCCCCAGAAUUGGGCAGCAUGGACAUCGUUAAUGUUUAUUAAAUGCUGUUUCUUUUAUACAGAAAAUGUACACUUUAAUUGAAAUGGAAAUAAGCGUGUUUACGAGUUACAAAAAAAUAAUUGUUCCAAAAUUGUUAUCACAUCGUUGAAA